CAAGCCAGAAGAGGCGCGUCGCCCAGGUAGAGUGUCAGAGGAGCCAUUAUCCGAUGACGGCACUGGAGGGGGAGCGACGCCGAGGCGAGAUGCUUACGGCAAUCAUCACGUCGGCUACAGGGGCUGAAUCCCCUGAGUUGUCACCAUGGGCUGCUCUGAAUGUGCAGUCAGCAAGGUGGGGCGCUUCUGGGUGU
rfam:Serratia fonticola strain DSM 4576, complete genome.